rnacentral:rRNA from 1 species
CGAGUGGCGGACGGGUGAGUAACGCGUGGGUAACCUGCCUCAUACAGGGGGAUAACGAUUGGAAACGAUUGCUAAUACCGCAUAAGCGCACAGUACCACAUGGUGCAGUGUGAAAAACUCCGGUGGUAUGAGAUGGACCCGCGUCUGAUUAGCUAGUUGGUGAGGUAACGGCCCACCAAGGCAACGAUCAGUAGCCGACCUGAGAGGGUGACCGGCCACAUUGGGACUGAGACACGGCCCAGACUCCUACGGGAGGCAGCAGUGGGGGAUAUUGCACAAUGGAGGAAACUCUGAUGCAGCGACGCCGCGUGAGUGAAGAAGUAUUUCGGUAUGUAAAGCUCUAUCAGCAGGGAAGAAAAUGACGGUACCUGACUAAGAAGCCCCGGCUAACUACGUGCCAGCAGCCGCGGUAAUACGUAGGGGGCAAGCGUUAUCCGGAUUUACUGGGUGUAAAGGGAGCGUAGACGGCGAUGCAAGUCUGAAGUGAAAUACCCGGGCUCAACCUGGGAACUGCUUUGGAAACUGUAUGGCUAGAGUGCUGGAGAGGUAAGCGGAAUUCCUAGUGUAGCGGUGAAAUGCGUAGAUAUUAGGAAGAACACCAGUGGCGAAGGCGGCUUACUGGACAGUAACUGACGUUC